rnacentral:lncRNA from 1 species
GAGGACCGAAGGAGGAGUCCCAGCGCGCACGUGUGUGCUCCUCGACCAUGGGAUGCAGAGCCGUUGAAGGCGGCGGGAAAUCCAUUUCAAUGUUUCUUAUUCAUUGCAUUUCAUUUCAGGUCAUGUCAGUGUGGGCUGCUGGUGGCGGUGUUGUAUUUGGCAUUUUACCAGUCGUUUUCUCAAUAAAUGUGCACAUUUUUGGAGGCUAGCGGAAUUAAUAAUUGAACGGGUGAGGGAGAGUAAAAUUGCGAACUUUUCUGGCUUUUCAUUUAUGUUAGAAGGAUGAGUCCCGGCGCGCACGUGUGCGCUCCUCGACCAUGGGAUGCAGAGCCGUUGAAGGCGGCGGGAAAUCCAUUUCAAUGUUUCUUAUUCAUUGCAUUUCAUUUCAGGUCAUGUCAGUGUGGGCUGCUGGUGGCGGUGUUGUAUUUGGCAUUUUACCAGUCGUUUUCUCAAUAAAUGUGCACAUUUUUGGAGGCUAGCGGAAUUAAUAAUUGAACGGGUGAGGGAGAGUAAAAUUGCGAACUUUUCUGGCUUUUCAUUUAUGUUAAUUUUCUUGAUAUUUUAAUUUUAGUUUUGAGUUUUAGCAGUUUCGUCAGCAGGUUUGCCUAAUUCUUGAACCUAAAUUAUGCUCCAGC